UAGUCUAGUGGUUAGAGUGUAGAGGCAGGUAGUCUAGUGGUUAGAGUGUAGAGGAGGCAGGUAGCCUAGUGGUUAGAGUGUAGAGGCAGGCAGUCUAGUGGUUAGAGUGUAGAGGAGGCAGGUAGCCUAGUGGUUAGAGUGUAGAGGAGGCAGGUAGCCUAGUGGUUAGAGUGUAGAGGCAGGUAGCCUAGUGGUUAGAGUGUAGAGGAGGCAGGUAGCCUAGUGGUUAGAGUGUAUAGGAGGCAGGUAGCCUAGUGGUUAGAGUGUAGAGGAGGCAGGUAGCCUAGUGGUUAGAGUGUAGAGGAGGCAGGGUAGCCUAGUGGUUCGAGUGUAGAGGAGGCAGGGUAGCCUAGUGGUUAGAGUGUAGAGGAGGCAGGGUAGCCUAGUGGUUAGAGUGUAGAGGAGGCAGGUAGCCUAGUGGUUAGAGUGUAGAGGAGGCAGGGUAGCCUAGUGGUUAGAGUGUAGAGGAGGCAGGGUAGCCUAGUGGUUAGAGUGUAGAGGCGGCAGGUAGCCUAGUGGUUAGAGUGUAGAGGAGGCAGGUAGCCUAGUGGUUAGAGUGUAGAGGCGGCAGGGUAGCCUAGUGGUUAGAGUGUAGAGGGGGCAGGGUAGCCUAGUGGUUAGAGUGUAGAGGCGGUAGGUAGCCUAGUGGUUAGAGUGUAGAGGAGGCAGGUAGCCUAGUGGUUAGAGUGUAGAGGAGGCAGGUAGCCUAGUGGUUAGAGUGUAGAGGCGGCAGGGUAGCCUAGUGGUUAGAGUGUAGAGGGGGCAGGGUAGCCUAGUGGUUAGAGUGUAGAGGAGGCAGGUAGCCUAGUGGUUAGAGUGUAGAGGAGGCAGGUAGCCUAGUGGUUAGAGUGUAGAGGAGGCAGGUAGCCUAGUGGUUAGAGUGUAGAGGAGGCAGGUAGCCUAGUGGUUAGAGUGUAGAGGGGCAGGGUAGCCUAGUGGUUAGAGUGUAGAGGGGGCAGGGUAGCCUAGUGGUUAGAGUGUAGAGGAGGCAGGUAGCCUAGUGGUUAGAGUGUAGAGGGGGCAGGGUAGCCUAGUGGUUAGAGUGUAGAGGCGGCAGGGUAGCCUAGUGGUUAGAGUGUAGAGGAGGCAGGUAGCCUAGUGGUUAGAGUGUAGAGGUGGCAGGUAGCCUAGUGGUUAGAGUGUAGAGGAGGCAGGGUAGCCUAGUGGUUAGAGUGUAGAGGAGGCAGGGUAGCCUAGUGGUUAGAGUGUAGAGGAGGCAGGUAGCCUAGUGGUUAGAGUGUAGAGGUGGCAGGUAGCCUAGUGGUUAGAGUGUAGAGGAGGCAGGGUAGCCUAGUGGUUAGAGUGUAGAGGAGGCAGGGUAGCCUAGUGGUUAGAGUGUAGAGGAGGCAGGUAGCCUAGUGGUUAGAGUGUAGAGGUGGCAGGUAGCCUAGUGGUUAGAGUGUAGAGGAGGCAGGUAGCCUAGUGGUUAGAGUGUAGAGGCAGGUAGCCUAGUGG